rnacentral:lncRNA from 1 species
GGUGUAAGAAGCAACAAGCCCAAAUAUCAAUAAAAUUUCUAACUAAUAUCAGAGAAACGUACCCUGAGAGUAGUUAAGAACUGAGAUAGAUUUCCAGACAGCUUGCAGGAUCUCCAGCUAUAGGGAUAUUCAAAGUUUGACCAGAUAAGGUUCUGAGCAACAUGCACAGCAUGUUUGAGCAGGACAGGUAGACUUCUGCAAUAGUGGGGGUAAAUGUCGUGGUUGAAAGUUGUGUUGUUGUGUUGUAUGAGAAUGAAACAGAGCUGUAGACUAUCCGAGAGAUGUAAGUGACUUGCCUAUGAACUGGCCAAGCAACAAGUAUCAUAGGAUCAUAGAAUUGAUAAGGUUGAAAAAGACCGCUAGUUCAACUAUUAACCAUUAAGUUGUGUCUGCUCCACUCAUUCUGUUUUUCCAUGAAAAACUUAGCUUCUUCUUUCUUUUCUUCUCUUUUCAGACAGAAUUUAUCCAGCAGUUCUGAGAACAAGGAAACCAUUUCAUUACCUGCCCCACUCAACACAGGGGAGCUCUGUUUUUCCAACUCUGUGUGCUAUUGAUUUGGUGUAUGGAUGCACUAGUGAAAGGGAGCUGACAGCUUUACUUUCUAUACCCUGAUGCUUGCUUCCAAAGGCUCAUCUGAACUUCCCUCAGUAUCCAGAAUGACUUAGCUAAAAUGAUAACAAAGACAGACAUGCAGGCAUCUGCAGUCUGAUACAGCUCUGGCUGUGCCAGCCCAAAACCACAUUGCUGUCUUAGACAUGAAAUGGAUUACGGGCACGUUGUGUGCUUUACAUCUUUUUUUUUCAGGUAAGCUCCAGUUUGUACAAACUGUUCCAUUUUCUGUUAUACAAAAGCGCCCCUAACUUUGCUCAGCUCUGGCUCCGGCAUUUCUCUAUUUUAAUAGAACAUUUGGAACGGCAGAGGGAGUGCAAGAGCAAGGAAAAAGAAGUGAACACACUGAAUGUAAGAAGUUUGGUCCCCCAGGUGAAUAAAACAACUGCACGGAACA